UUCCUGGCGGUCCAAUGGCUAGGACUCAGCAUUUUCAUUGCUGAGGGUACAGGUUUGAACCCUGGUCAGGGAA
rnacentral:tRNA from 1 species